CAUAGGGGUCUCUUUGAAAGUUUAUUAAUAAAACAUUUGAUUGAAACUGUGCAUUAAUGUCCCUCUGCAACCACUUUGGAAAUCGUAAAAGUGCUCCAGAUAGCUUAGGAUUUACAUGUAUCAUUUCAUACUGUGCCCUAUGCUGUCCUAGAACUGAUUCCAGGCCUGGGCUAGGUACAAGAGUCCAUGGAGAGCUGCACAGGGGACACGGCGAAUCAUGAUCUGGUCCAUUUUUCUUCCUCUCCGCAGCCCUUCUAGAGCUCUCUCCUAUGAGGGCUGUGGAAUUUGCCUCAUGCCUGGAGGUUGUGGUGCCCCUGGCAGCCACUCCCAGAGUCCCUGGAUCUCUGGCCGAAGGCUCUCUGACUGACUCCUUCCCAGACCUUCUCGGCUUAGCAGCUGAAGACUGACACUGCCCGAUCGCCUUGGAAGCCUGGGCUGUGCUGCUGCAAGGUUUCAGGGACAGCCCUCAUUACUUCAGCCAAGCUCUUUCUCAUGAUUUAGUUUCUUUCCACCCCUCUGCUUCUCACCUUAUUCAAUAUACUGAUGACCUUCUUCUUUGUAGCCCCUCCUUUGAAUCUUCUCAACAAGACACACUUCUGCUCCUUCAGCAUUUACUCUCCAAAGGAUUUCAGGUAUCCCCCUCCAAAGCUUAAAUUUCUUCUCCAUUCGUUACCUACCUCGGCAUAAUUCUUCAUAAAAACACACUUGCUCUCCCUGCUGAUCGUGUCUGACUAAUCUCUCAAACCCCAACCCCUUCUACAAAACAACAACUCCUUUCCUUCCUAGGCAUGGUUCCUAGCCUUUGGAUACCUGGUUUUCCAUCCUAACAAAACCAUUAUAUAAACUCACAAAAGGAAACCUAGCUGACCCCAUAGAUCCUAAAUCCUUUCCCCACUCCUCUUUCCGUUCCUUGAAGACAGCUUUAGAGACUGCCCCCACUCUAGCUCUCCCUGACUAAUCCCAACCCUUUUCAUUACACACAGCUGAAGUGCAGGGCUGUGCAGUCAGAAUUCUUACACAAGGACCAGGAUCCCGUCCUGUAGCCUUUUUGUCCAAACAACUUGACCUUACUGUUUUAAGCUGGCAAUUAUGUCUCCAUGCAGUGGCUGCUGCCGCCAUAAUACUUUUAGAGGCCCUUAAAAUCACAAACUAUGCCCAACUCACUCUCUACAGCUCUCGUAAUUUCCAAAAUCUAUUUUCUUCCUCACACCUGACGCAUAUACUUUCUGCUCCCUGGCUCCUUCAGCUGUACUCACUCUUUGUUAAGUCUCCCACAAUUACCAUCGUUCCUGGCCCGGACUUCAAUCCAGCCUCCCACAUUAUUCCUGAUACCACACCUGACCCUCAUGACUGCAUCUCUCUGAUCCACCUGACAUUCACCCC
rnacentral:lncRNA from 10 species